GGAGAGAUGGCUGAGUGGCUGAAGGCAGCGGUUUGCUAAAUCGUCGUACGGGGUAAACCCGUACCGGGGGUUCGAAUCCCCCUCUCUCCGCCA
rnacentral:tRNA from 1 species